rnacentral:rRNA from 1 species
AGUGAACGCUGGCGGUAGGCCUAACGCAUGCAAGUCGAACGGCAGCACAGUAAGAGCUUGCUCUUACGGGUGGCGAGUGGCGGACGGGUGAGGAAUACAUCGGAAUCUACUUUUUCGUGGGGGAUAACGUAGGGAAACUUCCGCUAAUACCGCAUACUACCUACGGGUGAAAGCAGGGGAUCUUCGGACCUUGGCCGAUUUAAUAGGCGGAUGUCGGAUUAGCUAGUUGGCGGGUUAAAGGCCCACCAAGGCGACGAUCCGUAGCUGGUCUGAGAGGAUGAUCAGCCACACUGGAACUGAGACACGGUCCAGACUCCUACGGGAGGAAGCAGUGGGGAAUAUUGGACAAUGGGCGCAAGCCUGAUCCAGCCAUACCGCGUGGGUGAAGAAGGCCUUCGGGUUUUAAAGCCCUUUUGUUGGGAAAGAAAAGCAGCAGGUUAAUACCCCGCUGUUCUGACGGUACCCAAUGAAUAAGCACCGGCUAACUUCGUG